CGAAUGCCGCAUAAAUGAUGUACGGGAGUCAGACUGCACGAGAUAAGUUGGGCAGUCAAAAGGGAAAGAGCCCAGACCUACAGCUAAGGUCCCAAAGUGUGUGUUAAGUGGAAAAGGAUGUGGGAUUUCAGAGACAACUAGGAUGUUGGCUUAGAAGCAGCCACACAUUCAAAGAGUGCGUAAUAGCUCACUAGUCGAGAGGUCCUGCGCCGAAAAUGUCCGGGGCUGAAACACAACACCGAAGCUUAGGAAUGUAGUAAUACAUUGGUAGAGGAGCAUUCUUAAAGGAAUGAAGCAGUACCGAUAAGGAGCUGUGGACUUUUAAGAAGAGAGAAUGCCGGAAUGAGUAGCGAGAUGGAGGUGGGAAUCCUCCAGGCCGAAUAUCCAAGGUUUCCAGAGUAAAGCUGAUCUGCUCUGGGUAAGUCGGGGCCUAAGGUAAGGCUGAGAAGCGUAGCCGAUGGACAACAGGUUGAGAUUCCUGUACCGCGUAUCAUCAGAACUGUGGGGACACAGAAGGACAGCACAUCCCGGGAAUGGAAAGACCGGGGCAAGCAGGGUAGGAGUUAAGCUGGCAAAUCCGCUUAACAAUCCGAAGCUGUGAUGCGGAGCGAAUUUAAGUAGCGAAGUGUGCGAUUCCGGCUGUCAAGAAAAGCCGCUAUUGUGUGAUACGUGCCCGUACCGUAAACCGACACAGGUAGAUGAGGAGAGAAUCCUAAGGCCGGCGGGAGAAGCAUUGUUAAGGAACUCGGCAAAAUGACCCUGUAACUUCGGGAGAAAGGGUGCCUGGGAAACCAGGCCGCAGAGAAUAGGCUCAAGCAACUGUUUAGCAAAAACACAGGUCUAUGCAAAACCGUAAGGUGAGGUAUAUGGGCUGACGCCUGCCCGGUGCUGGAAGGUUAAGAGGAGGGGUUAGCGCAAGCGAAGCUCUGAAUUGAAGCCCCAGUAAACGGCGGCCGUAACUAUAACGGUCCUAAGGUAGCGAAAUUCCUUGUCGGGUAAGUUCCGACCCGCACGAAAGGCGUAAUGAUUUGAGCGCUGUCUCGACAAUGCACCCGGUGAAAUUGAAAUACCAGUGAAGAUGCUGGUUACCUGCGCCAGGACGGAAAGACCCCAUGGAGCUUUACUCCAGCUUGAUACUGGGAUUCGGUACUGCAUGUACAGGAUAGGUGGGAGACUGAGAACUAUGAACGCCAGUUUGUAGGGAGUCGCUGUUGGGAUACCACCCUUGCGGUAUUGGAUUUCUAACCUGCAGCCGUGAACCGGCUGGGGGACAAUGUCAGGCGGGGAGUUUGACUGGGGCGGUCGCCUCCGAAAGGGUAUCGGAGGCGCUCAAAGGUUCCCUCAUAAUGGUUGGAAACCAUUAGAAGAGUGCAAAGGCAUAAGGGAGCUUGACUGCGACACCGACGGGUGGAGCAGGUACGAAAGUAGGACUUAGUGAUCCGGUGGUAUGAAAGUGGGAUUGCCAUCGCUCAACGGAUAAAAGCUACCCUGGGGAUAACAGGCUUAUCACUCCCAAGAGUUCACAUCGACGGAGUGGUUUGGCACCUCGAUGUCGGCUCAUCGCAUCCUGGGGCUGUAGCAGGUCCCAAGGGUUGGGCUGUUCGCCCAUUAAAGCGGUACGCGAGCUGGGUUCAGAACGUCGUGAGACAGUUCGGUCCCUAUCCGGCGCGGGCGUAAGAUAUUUGAGAGGAGCUGUCCUUAGUACGAGAGGACCGGGAUGGACGGGCCGCUGGUGUACCUGUUGGAGUGCCAACUCCAUGGCAGGGUAGCCAAGCCCGGACGGGAUAAACGCUGAAGGCAUCUAAGCGUGAAGCCCCCCUCAAGAUGAGAUAUCUCAUACGCAAGUAGUAAGACCCCUUGA
rnacentral:rRNA from 1 species